AAACUUGAGAGUUUGAUCCUGGCUCAGAACGAACGCUGGCGGCAUGCCUAACACAUGCAAGUCGAACGAGACCUUCGGGUCUAGUGGCGCA
rnacentral:ncRNA from 1 species